rnacentral:rRNA from 1 species
CCUACGGGAGGCAGCAGUAGGGAAUCUUUCACCAUGGGCGAAAGCCUGAUGGAGCAACGCCGCGUGCAGGAUGAAGGCCUUCGGGUUGUAAACUGCUUUUAUAAGCGAGAAAUAUGAUGGUAACUUAUGAAUAAGGAUCGGCUAACUACGUGCCAGAAGCCGCGGUCAUACGUAGGAUCCGAGCAUUAUCCGGAGUGACUGGGUGUAAAGAGUUGCGUAGGUGGCAUAAUAAGUAGCUAGUGAAAUCUGGUGGCUCAACCAUUCAGACUAUUAGCUAAACUGUUAAGCUCGAGACCGUUAGGGGUAACUGGAAUUUCGAGUGUAGGAGUGAAAUCCGUAGAUAUUAGAAGGAACACCAAUAGCGUAGGCAGGUUGCUGGGACGGGUCUGACACUAAGGCACGAAAGCGUAGGGAGCAAACGGGAUUAGAUACCCCGGUAGUC